rnacentral:lncRNA from 1 species
UCUGUAGUCACUGCAAAGCUAAACCUGUGAAGAAGUACAACGCUGUUAACAAGCUGAGAGACCUCCAAGAACAUUUAGCAAGUGAGAAUUCAACAACUUCUCAAGGUUGAACCCAUUUCACCUGGAGUUUUCUGGAAUACCAGACUACCUAGUAAAAGAAUAAGGAAAGCCUUUAUUCCUUCCAUCCUCUCUUACAAAGAAACAGUCUUAGUAUCAGCAGUGUUUGUGUUCAAUACUUGAAGACUCUGGGGACAUAAAAAUCAAUUCUUGGCUCAAAGUCCAGCAAUAUUCUGUCUCAACAGAACUGUGCAAACUAGUGUGAUUACAGUGGUUAUGCUACCAGUUAGUCAACUACUACCAAACUGAGAGGGUGGAGAGGAAGGUAAGCAUUUCAUCUUCUAAGUCACAUUGCACUUUGCUUCUUUCAGUGUUUUGCCC